rnacentral:pre_miRNA from 1 species
AGUCUUCCGAAUCCAUGCCGAGAUUUCGUCACAUAGCAGACCAUCAGAAUUGAUCAGAUCCUCAAGAUAAGUGAAGUU